AUUGAACGCUGGCGGCAUGCCUUACACAUGCAAGUCGAACGGUAACAGGUCUUCGGAUGCUGACGAGUGGCGAACGGGUGAGUAAUACAUCGGAACGUGCCCGAUCGUGGGGGAUAACGAAGCGAAAGCUUUGCUAAUACAGCAUAAGAUCUACGGAUGAAAGCAGGGGACCGCAAGGCCUUGCGCGAACGGAGCGGCCGAUGGCAGAUUAGGUAGUUGGUGGGAUAAAAGCUUACCAAGCCGACGAUCUGUAGCUGGUCUGAGAGGACGACCAGCCAAACUGGGACUGAGACACGGCCCAGACUCCUACGGGAGUCAGCAGUGGGGAAUUUUGGACAAUGGGCGAAAGCCUGAUCCAGCCAUGCCGCGUGCAGGAGGAAGGCCUUCGGGUUGUAAACUGCUUUUGUACGGAACGAAAAGACUCUUUCUAAUAAAGAGGGUCCAUGACGGUACCGUAAGAAUAAGCACCGGCUAACUACGUGCCAGCCGCCGCCGUAA
rnacentral:rRNA from 1 species